GUGAAUUAAACAUGCUGGUGUCUUCGCUUCGGCAAGGCCCUUGCUUAAAUCACAUCCUAACACCUGUGAACUGUAAGACGUAUGAUGAGGUCUUUGGCCAAGUCAUCGUCUGCCCAUUUUUAACAAACAAUUAAUGUAACAAACGUAGUCUUAUUAUAACCUAAUA
rnacentral:misc_RNA from 1 species